CGACAUGAUCUCCCCAUCAACAUCAUUGCUGGCAUCACUGGCAUGGCAGAAAGGAUACCCAACCUGGGUGAGAAUGACACCUACAUCGGGUACCUCCCCCUGGCCCAUGUGUUGGAGCUGAGUGCAGAGCUGGUGUGUGUGGCUCACGGCUGCAGGAUUGGCUACUCCUCCCCCCAGACGCUAGCGGACCAGUCAACAAAGAUUAAAAAAGGCAGUAAAGGAGACACCAGUGUUCUGCAGCCGACUCUAAUGGCAGCUGUGCCGGU